CCCAGAUAGUUAAACAAAACACUUAGGUCGUGACCCUAAAAAUAGAGCUGCCCUCUUCUGGACU
rnacentral:tRNA from 1 species